GAGUUUGAUCCUGGCUCAGAGUGAACGCUGGCGGCGUGCCUAAUACAUGCAAGUCGAACGGAGAUUAAAGUAAGCUUGCUUAUUUUAAUCUUAGUGGCGCACGGGUGAGUAAUGUAUAGCUAAUCUGCCCUACACUAGAGGACAACAGUUGGAAACGACUGCUAAUACUCUAUACUCCUUCUUUACAUAAGUUAAGUCGGGAAAGUUUUUCGGUGUAGGAUGAGGCUAUAUCGUAUCAGCUAGUUGGUGAGGUAAUGGCUCACCAAGGCUAUGACGCGUAACUGGUCUGAGAGGAUGAUCAGUCACACUGGAACUGAGACACGGUCCAGACUCCUACGGGAGGCAGCAGUAGGGAAUAUUGCUCAAUGGGGGAAACCCUGAAGCAGCAACGCCGCGUGGAGGAUGACACUUUUCGGAGCGUAAACUCCUUUUCUUGGGAAAGAAUUA
rnacentral:rRNA from 1 species